GAUGAACGCUGGCGGCGUGCCUAAUACAUGCAAGUCGAGCGAACAGACGAGGAGCUUGCUCCUCUGACGUUAGCGGCGGACGGGUGAGUAACACGUGGAUAACCUACCUAUAAGACUGGGAUAACUUCGGGAAACCGGAGCUAAUACCGGAUAAUAUAUUGAACCGCAUGGUUCAAUAGUGAAAGACGGUUUUGCUGUCACUUAUAGAUGGAUCCGCGCCGCAUUAGCUAGUUGGUAAGGUACCGGCUUACCAAGGCGACGAUGCGUAGCCGACCUGAGAGGGUGAUCGACCACACUGGAACUGAGACACGGUCCAGACUCCUACGGGAGGCAGCAGUAGGGAAUCUUCCGCAAUGGGCGAAAGCCUGACGGAGCAACGCCGCGUGAGUGAUGAAGGUCUUCGGAUCGUAAAACUCUGUUAUUAGGGAAGAACAAAUGUGUAAGUAACGAUGCACGUCUUGACGGUACCUAAGCAGAAAGCCACGGCUAACUACGU
rnacentral:rRNA from 1 species